rnacentral:rRNA from 1 species
UUGGAGGGCAAGUCUGGUGCCAGCAGCCGCGGUAAUUCCAGCUCCAAUAGCGUAUAUUAAAGUUGUUGCAGUUAAAAAGCUCGUAGUUGAAUUUCGGAAUCAAUUUGUUGGUCGUGCCUCGGUACGUACUGGUAUUAUUGGUUUCUACCUUCUGAAGAACCUUGAUGUCAUUAAUUUGGUGUCUUGGGGAAUCAGGACUGUUACUUUGAAAAAAUUAGAGUGUUUAAAGCAAGCAUACGCUUGAAUACAUUAGCAUGGAAUAAUGAAAUAGGACGUUCGAUCUUAUUUUGUUGGUUUCUAGGAUCGACGUAAUGAUUAAUAGGGAUAGUUGGGGGCAUUAGUAUUCAAUUGUCAGAGGUGAAAUUCUUGGAUUUAUUGAAGACUAACUACUGCGAAAGCAUUUGCCAAGGAUGUUUUCAUUAAUCAAGAACGAAAGUUAGGGGAUCGAAGACGAUCAGAUACCGUCGUAGUCUUAACCAUAAACUACGCCGACUAGGGAUCGGAUGAUGUUAAUUUUUUAAUGACUCAUUCGGCGCCUUACGGGAAAC